rnacentral:misc_RNA from 1 species
UCCGGGUUGGACCCGGCGGUCCCGCCAGACAUGGUAACUGGCAGCGAGGGUUGCGCUCGUUGCGGGACUUAACCCAACACCUCAUGGCACGAGCUGACGACAGCCAUGCAGCAUCUGUGCACGCUCCCUUGCGGGUCCUUCCGCUUUCGCGGUCGUACCACGUGCAUGUCCAGCCUGGGUAAGGUUCUUCGCGUUGCGUCGAAUUAAACCACAUGCUCCACCGCUUGUGCGGGCCCCCGUCAAUUCCUUUGAGUUUCAACCUUGCGGCCGUACUUCCCAGGCGGAAUACUUAUUGCGUUAGCUUCGGCACGGACGGAGUUGACACCGCCCACACCUAGCACCCAUCGUUUACGGCGUGGACUAC